rnacentral:lncRNA from 1 species
AGACAUAAUCUUUAUUACAUGCUAAGCAAUGUACCAACUCCUAGAUGAUUGUGGCUUUGUUUCAUUCUCCCAAAACUAUUAAGCAAAUAUUUUGCCCACUCCGUAGAUGAGGAAAUGGAGGUUCUUACUGCUAGAAAGUGGGAGAGCCAAAAAUUAACCUGGAUCAGAGAAGAUUCUGGGAAGACAGUAGAGUAGGAAGCACUAGGAAUCUGUCUCCCCACCUAGGCAACUGCACUGGCAGAAUCUGUCUGAUGUAAUUAUCUUGGAAAUCUGGAGUCUACCAAAGGCUUGCAACUUCCAGGAGAAGGCUUGGACUGUCAAUUACAGUUAAUUUUAGUCUAUUUCAGAUCUUAGCACAGUUAACAGCUACCCAUCCCCCAUUCCCGGCCCCAUGGCAGGCAGCUGUGCACUUAUUUCUGGAGCAGUGUGCACACAGCUUACAAGAACCAGGUGGGCAAAAAGAACCCUGUCCUCCAAUUACUGGGGAUCUGUGCUCUGAUUACUCAUUGCUGCUUCUGAUCACAGAAGAGCAGAGAAAGAGAUAUUAAAGACUUGUAUAUUCAAAACCAACCACAUAUACUGGGGAAAUCAGAAAGCUACUAUGCUUAGUCAGGAAAAAGUACAGGCUUAGAAAAGGUCUGAGACCUUAGGUUUACAUCUCAGGCUGGUCCUCAGCACAGAGACAGUCUACAACCAUCAAAAAAACAAACAAACAAA